UGCCAGCGGUUAGGCCGGGAACUCAAAGGAGACUGCCAGUGAUAAACUGGAGGAAGGUGGGGAUGACGUCAAGUCAUCAUGGCCCUUACGACCAGGGCUACACACGUGCUACAAUGGCGCAUACAAAGAGAAGCGACCUCGCGAGAGCAAGCGGACCUCAUAAAGUGCGUCGUAGUCCGGAUUGGAGUCUGCAACUCGACUCCAUGAAGUCGGAAUCGCUAGUAAUCGUGGAUCAGAAUGCCACGGUGAAUACGUUCCCGGGCCUUGUACACACCGCCCGUCACACCAUGGGAGUGGGUUGCAAAAGAAGUAGGUAGCUUAACCUUCGGGAGGGCGCUUACCACUUUGUGAUUCAUGACUGGGGUGAAGUCGUAACAAGGUAACCGUAGGGGAACCUGCGGUUGGAUCACCUCCUUACCUGAAAGAA
rnacentral:rRNA from 1 species